rnacentral:lncRNA from 10 species
CCCAUUGGGAUCAAAUCAAAGGCACAGUGAACUCCUCAUAGCAUCUUCUUUGGAAUUACUCAGGAACCAGAACUUUUUACACAAAUGUAAGAAAUUCUACCAAGGAGUCCCCUUACCUAACAGCAUCUCACAAGGCUGCACCAGAUUCCAGAAAAGGCUUCUCUUGAUACAUCAAGGCUUUGUGGCCAUGAAGCCCUUUGAGUGAAAACUGUGCAGAAGCCCAGAGUAAAAGUGAAGCUGCUCUGGAUGAAGUAGUGAAGCAAGAGUAGGGGCCUGAAUCCUGCUACAACUAUCUUCCUUUACCACCGUGGUGACACCUAAGGGGACUUCCUUACAACACCUUGAACUCUUCCGAACACAGUUUGAAAACCACUGCCCCAGACAGCAAUAUGUUUGACCUGAAUGGCAUUCCAAUCUUUUCUGUACCUCCACUCAGCACAGUU